CGGCCACCAUGACCGCCACACACAGCCUGUCACCGCGCUUUUUCACCGUCGUUACCUGCCGGGGAACCGACUAGCUCAGCUGUCCGCCGGGUCGCUGUUAAAUUCACAGCCGUUAAAAAUGGUGUUCACUCACCAGCGUCUGUGAAACUGCCGAAAUCCGAGGGAAAAAAAGCACACAUGAACCUUUGGUCCAAAACGCCGAAGCGAGCAGCUCCUCCGUCCCUCACAGACACGUCGGUGUUGUCCCGUCUCUUUUCCCGAGGGUUACGAGGAUCUCCGUGACAGAUUGCAGGCCUCUGUGGAAGACCAAGUGUGACCAAAUUACAUGAUUGUGACGACCCUCCACUUGGACACCAGGUGUGCCUGUUCAGAAGCUGAGGGUCGUCAGCUGAUUGAGCCACACCUGGGAUCAAGUGGCUCAAACUGCAUCAAACCUCCCUCACUUCCAGUGUGUGUCUCUCUCUGACAGGAGCCGUUUCCUUCUGCAGCUCCAGAAGCCUGGUUUUGGUUUGGUUUGGUUUGGUUUGGUUUGGUUUAUAGUCUUU
ensembl:lncRNA